rnacentral:rRNA from 1 species
AGCAGCAGCCACGGGAAUACAGAGGGUGCGAGCGUUAAUCGGAUUUACUGGGCGUAAAGCGUGCGUAGGCGGCUUCUUAAGUCGGAUGUGAAAUCCCUGAGCUUAACUUAGGAAUUGCAUUCGAUACUGGGAAGCUAGAGUAUGGGAGAGGAUGGUAGAAUUCCAGGUGUAGCGGUGAAAUGCGUAGAGAUCUGGAGGAAUACCGAUGGCGAAGGCAGCCAUCUGGCCUAAUACUGACGCUGAGGUACGAAAGCAUGGGGAGCAAACAGGAUUAGAUACCCGAGUAGUCCCUGUCUCUUAUAC